AGAAAAUGUACAGAUCUACAGACACGUGGAGCUAUUGGUGUGCUGUGCAAACUAAAAUUCACUAGAAUACCCACCUCCUAAUGUAUUUGAGUUUAUAGGAUUCAGCUGUUGGGCCCAGAAGACUGGAAUUCUAGUGAGUUACUGGAGAUAGGCUGCAAGAAGAUACCUAGCAAAACUAUUAGAGAUAUUUGAUUCAGGCUCUUGAAGAAAAAGGAUAGUGUGUAGAGAAGAAGUAUGGCUACAGUUAUGCUGAGAGCCUUGAACAGGGAGAGUGAGCUUGGACCACAGGAGUCUUAGAAGAAAGAAACACUUCCCAAUGUUAUAUCCCUGAACACUCUGGCUGCUGUAGUUUUCUGAGCAGUGGAAGUUAAAAGGAUUAGGAAGCAAGAAUUCUCAACAGGCUAAGUACAGAGCACAAAACUGCUAACACAUUUCUCUAUCUGUGAAACACCUUCAGAACAUUUAUUUUAGCAUUAAAUAAUACAAGACAUUCUUCACUUUUGAUAUAUAAGUCAGAGGAAAGGGGAUCAGGGUGAUGUCUUGGUCGGAUGUAAUCUCUGGGAUUCUUUAUCAAACUGAAAAGAAAUGUCUUUCUAGCCAGGAAAACUCUAAAGUGUACUCUGCCAGGGGAAUCCUCAUUUGAGUUAAAUCUUGGGCAAUGAUGGAUUGGAAUUAAAGCAAUAGUUUUGCUUUGGUCAAAGUGUGAGUCCCAAGAUGCACAAACAAUAAACCCAAUAGUGUCAGGUGGCGUUCUGUGCAGAACAGAGAAAACAUUCCAGAGUUUUCCCUGGAGUUUCACUAAAUGUUCCUGAGAGGGCAAUACCACUAUUCAGUAUGCCUUCAUUCCUUAGUUAAAAACACAUGGGGUAAGAAUUUUGAGCAAAGCUUCUGGUGACAGAAUAUGUAGCAAUGAGAGAGGGUGAAUGGAAGUAAAAAUAUUCAGUUUAAGUGGAGUUUUGUCUUUAGUUGGGUCUAAGCCUGUGUGUAGACUUUCUUUCCUAUGUGUCCUAUAAAAUGGCCCUGGCUGAGACGUUUGUUUGUUUUUGGUAAUGAUUAAAAAUAGUAAUGCAUCUGAAAAAUACCUUGGAAGUGGUAAGGUAAGUGAUUGUGAUAUAUUUUUGUUUAUUAACUUGCUGUGUAAUAACAUAUGGAGUUCAUAGAUGGAGAACUGGAGACAGGAGGCACCAAAUAAGGUAGCUUAGGAUUACAAAGAUGCAAAGAAAGGUCAGAUAAAACUGAAAACUUCUCUCAUGGUAAGCUUUUUAUACAAACUCUGGGACAGAGAAGAUAGUACUUAGGAUUAAUGACUUUCAAAACAUGGUUUGUGAAAGAGCUGCCAUAGAAUACGUGGCCACUUGUUAAAAAAUGAAAAUGCAAGGUCCUCAGUCAAGCAAUUAAAUCACAUUCAUUACAAGGAACCUAAAUGUUUCCUUCAGAUUCUUUCUCCCUCUUCCUCCCUCCCUCCAUUUCCACCUUCUCACCUUUCCAAAUUACCCAGUGAUUCAAAAGCAUGCUAAAAUUUACAAAAUUUCUUCUUCUGCAGACUGCAAUAAGAUGAAUGUGUCAGCCCAAUGGGCUCUUAUUAUUUAAUAUUUAUAUUUCUACACUUAAGAGUUGUAUCAACCACCUUGGUCCCCCUACUUUUUAAAUGAAGGUUAACAUUACUACUACUCAUGAAACCAUGAUAUUCAAGGUGAAAAAAACAAACAAACAAAAAACAUAUGGCCUUAAAUUGUAUCUACAUUAUGAGCCAUGCACUUACACACAGUGUCCAACAGAGGGCAGUGGGUAACCCUCUUGCUGCUUCUGCUUACCCCCAGGGAAGAGGUAUCCUGGAGUGAAUUUUCUUAAGUGAUAGAUUCCUUCGGGGCACUUGUCAAUGCAUAUGGGAAACACCGUGUAACUUUAAAAUAUUGUUUUUAUUUAUUUUGUGGAGAAAAAUUCAGUCUUCCUUGUGGGUAAAAGAUUCAGCCUUCCUAGACAUUUUAAAACUAUGUUUGACAUAUAAAAAGUGCCUGUGACUCUGUUGAUUAUUCAGUGAAUUCUGCUGCAGUCUAGCAUAUGCCUUCCAAUAUGCUACUGUACAGAACCGAGGCCUUGUUCCAUUUCUUUUUCCAUUUACGUGUUUGGUAGACUAUGGGGAAGGAAGAAUAAACAGCAGAAAUAAAACACAAAAAUAGUUCAAAUAUAUCAUCUUCACUCUGCCUCCAAGCAGAGCCUUGGGAAACCACUUAUUGUUCCUAAACUUCAGAUUCCUUCUUAGUUGAACUCAAGGCAAACUGAAACACUCCAAAGUCAUCUAUAAAUGGCUAUUUUAUUGUUAUCUUUGCAGAAGGAAGAGACUCCAGCUUCUCUUCUGCCAUCCUCUCAUCACUGGACUAAUUCAAUGUGACAAACUUCCUGAGGAUGCCCACUUUGAACAAGGACAGAUGUACCAAUGUCCAAUAUUCCCAUCCCUCCAGCAAGAACUGAAGGAUUUCUUAUGGGUACUUCACUGUCAGGCUACUAAUGACAUCAGCCACAAUCUGGUGAGACAGUAUUGGACACUAUGCAUGUAUUCUUAACCAAAUGAUCUGCAAAAAAGAAACGAUGAUUCAUUUUUUUUACAUAUGGAUCGGGAUGUAAUGAGACUAUGAAGGCAAUUUCCUUCUGGUACAGCACAGACUUUCCUUCUCCUAGAUUUCAAAUAUUUCUCCAUCAAGAGUCCUUCUUUUUCACUGCCUGCUAUUUAAAAUAACACAGUAGAUCAUAACUCUCCUGGUCACUCAGUCAGGAUAUGUGUUAAUCGUCUUCGGACAUGACUUCUUAUCGCUCUUCUGGAACCACUAGUUUUGUUCCUAACUUCAUAUUUUACAGUUUUGGUCUUUCAUACUCAAACUUUAACUUCUACCCUAGGAUCUGAAAGGUUUAAUUCUUUCAAACUUGGAUUGGAAAAGUAAAUCAUUUUUACAAGUCUAGACAGGCAUUCCCUUGUUUAUCCAUGCUAAUUCUCUUAGGAUCUUUCCAAAUUGCGUAUUUAUAUUUGAUCACACUACUGUUUGCAAUUGGGGUCAUGGUUCCUCCUGUUUAUCCACAUAUUCUGGGCUCCCAGCAGUCUCAACAGUUUUGCAACUUUGUGCACCAUACUAUGUUUGCUGCAUGUGUAUCUGUUGACCAUAUUCCUCUGCUUGAGAUGUUGCUUAUCCCCUGGCAGGUACCAGUGUGGACUCAUGACUUUGUUCCAUCCUCCAUGGCAUUUUGCUAAGCUCCAGUUCCCACUGCCUGUGCCACCACACAGUAUCUUCUGCUUGUUAAAAAACGUUUGCUCCCCUAUGUGCUGCAUCUUCAUGGGAGUCCGGGAUGAGUCUUGUCUGCUUUUAAUUUCUAACAAACAGUGUGAUGCUAACAGUUAGGACAAGUACUUACUAAAUGUUUAUUGAAGGAGUAAAUAGAUAAAUGAGCGAACAGCUUAUCAGUGUGUGUUGGGAUAAGGUAGGUGAAGGGCCAAGUCUUCAUGCAAGGCUUGUAUUACAUCAAGGGCCGGGCAAGUUAUUUGAUACAGACAGCCUGUUCAGGCAAUUGAGCCAUGUCAAGUUUAAUGGAUGAGUUACAUCCUAUCUCAGUUUUUCCUUGACUGUUAUUUUGAAGAAACUGGAGUCUAUUUCCGGAAUAUAUCAAUUGGUUUUGGUUCUCUCUUCAUGGCUAUGAAAACCACACAUGGUCAAAAAGGGCACCAAGACAUUCAUAUGAAUUCAUUCAGAGCUGUAUUAUUGUGCCUUCCGAGGAGACCUUGGGGAUAUUACUUGUGAUGUUUAAUUCACAAAGCCCUGCUUAGAAAAGCCAGCCUGGGAGAUUGGGGUUCAUAACUUAUUUGUUCCUCUAAAGAACACUCAUUUUACUACUUCAAUAAAAAAAGGAAAAUAAAAAAGAAUACCAAAGGGUUCUGUUAAAUGGCAAAGAAAAGUGCUGCUUUAGUUAUGACUUCUUUUAGCUGAAAACACAAGGACCUGGCAGCCAGGGCUUAAUCAAACAAAGGUUUAUUUCCUCACACAAUUGAAAUCCAAAGGGAGGCGGACUGGGGUUAGUACUGCCAUCUGCCAAGUUACGAACCACUCUGGUUGCUUCUUCUCUCUCUCUGUGUGUGUGUCGUUUCAGUAGUUAGUGAAUGUAAAGUACCUGUUUUACCUGUAGGCAUUAUUUCUGUAACACAAACAAAAAGGAAGUGUAUGAAGGGAGGCAGCAAAGCCUAGGGCGGUUGAAUCUUUCUUUAGCUUUAACUGCUCGUCAUCCCCUCUCAUUGGUCACAGAGACCCAUAGGCACCUGCAAGAAACAGUUUUUGAGCCCGCAUCGUCUGUAAACACAUCUGUCCUUUUAACAGAAGAGGUAGUAGACUUUGGCUUUGACAAGUCUGAUACAACUGAGCAACUAGGAAGAAACAUGAAAUUAUGCCAGGUGGUGGUGGCUCACACUUUUAAAACCAGCACUCGGGAGCAGAGGUGGGUAGAACACUGUGAGUUUAAGGCCAGCCGGGUCUACAAAGCGAGUUCCGGGACAGCUAGAGCUGGGUAACAACAGCCCAGAGAAAUCCUAUCUUGUAAAACAAAUCAAACAAACAAACAA